UUCCAGGUAGCUUAAUGGUAAAGCACCCAACUGGCAAUUGGAGGAUCUGGGUUCAAAUCCCAGUCCGGGCA
rfam:Strigamia maritima strain Brora ctg7180001223411, whole genome shotgun sequence.